rnacentral:lncRNA from 1 species
CUCUAUGACCUUUCUCUUCCAGGAGAGGAGAUGGAAUUUUCCAAAGUUCCUGAGUUGACCUCUUCAGUGCCAGGCAUUGGCAUUGUGGAGAUGAACUAGGCAGGUACUCUCCCUCAAGUACUUCCCAGCCCAGAAGGGGACAGGACCACACCUGAGGACUAUCCUAAAGAUCUGAACAGUGGAGACAGAAUGAAGAGAGCUUGCUUGGACAGCUUUAUGUAGCAGAGCUGGUACAAGUGACUUAGGCCUUGAAGGGACUCCUGAGCAUCAUUCAAGGAAUUCUCUGGUCUCUAAACCCAAGUCUAAAGGCAGCUGAUUUAUCUGAUUUAUCCCUGGGAGCCACACCCAGCACAGGGCCAAGCACAAACACAACAUCACAUGAACGAGGACAGUGAGUCACUUGGGAUAUGGAGAGACGCAAGAGGAUCAGAAGUUUGAGGCCACCCUCAGGAACACAGCAAGUCUGAGGGCAGCCCGAGCCACACACGCUUCUUACCAAGAAAGGAUGAAGCCAAUGUUCCCACUCUAUCCUAAAAUAGGCUGCCAAGCACACCCAAGAAUGUGUCCUGUGACCCCACACUAGAAGACCUUGACACUCAGUAUGAUCGCAUCACGAAGCCUGAUCUAUACCCAAGGGUGGGAACCGCAUCACUGUGGUCUCUACCCAUCAUGGAGACCCUCUCACUCACUCACUCGCCCACUCACUCACAGUGUGACCUUGGGAAGCCACUGAACUGAUCUAGUCUCUCUCCCAUAAAAUGGACUAAUGGUUGCAUCUCCCCCGAGAGCUUGGCAGAAGGGUUAAAAUUAAUAUGUACUGAAUGCUAUUGAUUAUAUAAAGUUAUUAUAUGUGAAGGACAUGUAA